rnacentral:rRNA from 1 species
UACGGAGGGUGCAAGCGUUAUCCGGAUUUACUGGGUUUAAAGGGUGCGUAGGUGGAUAAUUAAGUCAGUGGUGAAAUCUUCAGGCUUAACCUGGAAACUGCCAUUGAUACUAUUUAUCUUGAAUACUUUGGAGGUAAGCGGAAUAUGUCAUGUAGCGGUGAAAUGCUUAGAGAUGACAUAGAACACCUAUUGCGAAGGCAGCUUACUACGCCUAUAUUGACGCUGAGGCACGAAAGCGUGGGGAUCAAACAGG